UGGGGAAUUUUGCGCAAUGGGGGAAACCCUGACGCAGCAACGCCGCGUGGGUGAUGAAGGCCUUCGGGUCGUAAAGCUCUGUCUGGAGGGAAGAAAUGAUUGGGAGCUAAUACCUCCUGAUCUUGACGGUACCUCUGAAGGAAGCACCGGCUAACUCCGUGCCAGCAGCCGCGGUAAUACGGAGGGUGCAAGCGUUGUUCGGAAUUAUUGGGCGUAAAGCGCGUGUAGGCGGUCUUUUAAGUCUGAUGUGAAAGCCCCGGGCUCAACCUGGGAAGUGCAUUGGAAACUGGGAGGCUUGAGUACGGGAGAGGAGAGUGGAAUUCCUAGUGUAGGAGUGAAAUCCGUAGAUAUUAGGAGGAACACCGGUGGCGAAGGCGGCUCUCUGGACCGAUACUGACGCUGAGACGCGAAAGCGUGGGUAGCAAACA
rnacentral:rRNA from 1 species